GAUGAACGCUGGCGGCGUGCUUAACACAUGCAAGUCGAACGGGAUCCCAGGAGCUUGCUCCUGGGUGAGAGUGGCGAACGGGUGAGUAAUGCGUGACCGACCUGCCCCAUACACCGGAAUAGCUCCUGGAAACGGGUGGUAAUGCCGGAUGCUCCAGUUGACCGCAUGGUCCUCUGGGAAAGCUUUUGCGGUAUGGGAUGGGGUCGCGUCCCAUCAGCUUGAUGGCGGGGUAACGGCCCACCAUGGCUUCGACGGGUAGCCGGCCUGAGAGGGCGACCGGCCACAUUGGGACUGAGAUACGGCCCAGACUCCUACGGGAGGCAGCAGUGGGGAAUAUUGCACAAUGGGCGCAAGCCUGAUGCAGCGACGCCGCGUGCGGGAUGACGGCCUUCGGGUUGUAAACCGCUUUUGACUGGGAGCAAGCC
rnacentral:rRNA from 1 species